GGUGCAUGGGCUUUGAUCUCAAAAGAACUUGGUGGUCUUUGAUCUCCUCCCUUCUCUAUCUACCUAUCUAUCUAUAUGUGCAUACACAUAUGCAAAUUAAUAUACAUAUAUGCGUGCUUUAUAAAAGAACUUGGUGGUCUUAAUUUGAUCUCCAAAGAAUUUUGGUGGCCUUUGAUCUCAAAAGAACUUGGUGGCCUUUGAUCUCCUCCCGUCUCUAUCUAUCCAUCUUUCUAGAUGCCAUUAGAUAUGAUUUUGCCAUCGUUGCAAUAAAAGAACUGAAACAUAUAUAUGCAUCUGGUCAUGUGUGGAGAUGUGGCUGGUGUUCCACAUAAAGGAGAGAA
rnacentral:lncRNA from 1 species